rfam:Hordeum vulgare subsp. vulgare, WGS project CAJW01000000 data, contig: morex_contig_2549283
AAAGUACUCCCUCCAUAUGGAAAUACUCGUUAGAGGAAUGGAUGAAUCUAGAUGUAUUUUAGUUCUAGAUACAUCCAUUUUUAUCCAUUUGCGCGACGAGUAAUUCCGAAUGGAGGAAGUAGUAA